rnacentral:lncRNA from 1 species
GCCUCCCAGCGGUGACUUUCUGUUCUCUUCUGUGUGAAUGAAAGUCACACUCCUGGAAACUGCUUGCCCACAUUUGGUAGGUCAUUCCUCCCUCGAAGGGACCUGAGUAAGGAGUCGGAGAAAAGGCCUCUUCCCUCCCAAGCUGGCCCAAACGUCUCUCUUCUGGGCCACCUGGCCCCUCCGCCUCCUGCCUUUGUACAGCUGGUGUUGACAUCAGGUUAAUUACAGGUCCCGUGUUUACACGCCAAUCUCCUGAAAGGCAGGCAGCAAGGUAGCUGCGCAGAGCCAGGUUGGAAAGCUCAUUUCAUGCACUUGUCCUUACGUCCGCAUUGGCCUUUCCAAACGCUGACUGGUGGAUGAUUCACACAUGUCCCCAGGGGACAGGCAACUGGUAUCGUUCCCAAUUCGUCAAUGAAGAAAUGGGCACCUGGUGGAAGCUGCCACUCCAGGGCCACACAGCAAGCCUGUCAGCCACAGAGCCAAACAGUCCUCAUGCGGCCAGACUCCUGUUUCCCUGCUCCCUCCCUGGGCAGCUCUACCUCCUCUGAAUAGCAGUGCCUGGACCUGUGCCUGGCUCACAGUAGGGGCUCAAUAAAUACCAGAUGAAAGAGGAAUGAACCUCGACUAUGUUCUGUGGGCCUUCAUGCCAACAGCUGGGUCUUGGCUGGCUGGUGCCUUUGUGAGCCUCCUUACCUACCUCAGUGAUAAAGGUCAUUUCGAUAGGCUUUUGAUUGAGCUUGUCUGAGGAAAUCACAGAACAUCUCAUCUAGAAUGGCCUCUAUGCUGCAGAUGAGGAAACUCAAAUAUAUGGAGAGUGAGAAGAUGGCCAUUUGCAAACCAGGAGGAGAGGCUUCACCAAAAUCUGCCCAUGCUGGCACCCUGAUCUUGGACUUCCGGCAUCCAGAACUGUGAGAAAU